rnacentral:tRNA from 1 species
AGUUGGCCAGCUCAGUCAGUAGAGCAUGGGACUCUUAAUCUCAGGGUUGUGGGUUCGAGCCCCACGCCAGUCG